rnacentral:SRP_RNA from 1 species
UCGUGCUAGGCGGGGAGGUAGCGGUGCCCUUUUCCCGCAAUCCGCUAUAGCGGGGCCGAAUUCCUGCCCCCGGGCGUCUGGUGUCGUUGUCUCUUCGCGGGGAAGUGGUGUUGAAGGGCAGGUCCCGCGCAAUGGUCGCCCACGAACCCCGUCAGGACCGGAAGGUAGCAGCGGUAAGUGGUGUCGGUCCAUGUGAUGCGGGGCAACCUGUUCGGAGCUAACCCUCGAGAAGAGGGCGGUGCGAGCGUUCAAAGGCAGGUGCACGA